rnacentral:rRNA from 1 species
GAUGAACGCUAGCGGGAGGCCUAACACAUGCAAGCCGAGCGGUAUUGUUUCUUCGGAAAUGAGAGAGCGGCGUACGGGUGCGUAACACGUGUGCAACCUGCCUUUAUCUGGGGGAUAGCCUUUCGAAAGGAAGAUUAAUACUCCAUAAUAUAUUGAACGGCAUCGUUUAAUAUCGAAAGCUCCGGCGGAUAGAGAUGGGCACGCGCAAGAUUAGCUAGUUGGUGAGGUAACGGCUCACCAAGGCGAUGAUCUUUAGGGGGCCUGAGAGGGUGAUCCCCCACACUGGUACUGAGACACGGACCAGACUCCUACGGGAGGCAGCAGUAAGGAAUAUUGGUCAAUGGGUGCAAGCCUGAACCAGCCAUCCCGCGUGAAGGACGACUGCCCUAUGGGUUGUAAACUUCUUUUGUAUAGGGAUAUACCUACCCUCGUGAGGGUAGCUGAAGGUACUAUACGAAUAAGCACCGGCUAACUCCGUGCCAGCCGCCGCCGUAA